rnacentral:rRNA from 1 species
CGGGUGCACUGAUCCGGCCGGGCCUUUCCCUCUGUGGAACCCCAUGGCCUUCACUGGCUGUGCGGGGGAAACAGGACUUUUACUGUGAAAAAAUUAGAGUGCUCCAGGCAGGCCUAUGCUCGAAUACAUUAGCAUGGAAUAAUAGAAUAGGACGCGUGGUUCUAUUUUGUUGGUUUCUAGGACCGCCGUAAUGAUUAAUAGGGACAGUCGGGGCAUCAGUAUUCAAUUGUCAGAGGUGAAAUUCUUGGAUCUAUUGAAGACUAACUACUGCGAAAGCAUUUGCCAAGGAUGUUUUCAUUGAUAAGGAACGAAAGUUAGGGGAUCGAAGACGAUCAGAUACCGUCGUAGUCUUAACUAUAAACUAUGCCGACUAGGGAUCGGACGAUGUUAUUUCUUGACGCGUUCGGCACCUUUCGAGAAAUCAAAGUGCUUGGGCUCCAGGGGGAGUAUGGUCGCAAGGCUGAAACUUAAAGAAAUUGACGGAAGGGCACCACCAGGGGUGGAACCUGCGGCUUAAUUUGACUCAACACGGGGAAACUCACCAGGUCCAGACACAGUGAGGAUUGACAGAUUGAGAGCUCUUUCUUGAUUCUGUGGGUGGUGGUGCAUGGCCGUUCUUAGUUGGUGGAGUGAUUUGUCUGCUUAAUUGCGAUAACGAACGAGACCUUAACCUGCUAAAUAGCCCGUACUGCUCUGGCAGUUCGCCGGCUUCUUAGAGGGACUAUCGG